rnacentral:SRP_RNA from 1 species
GCCGGGCCCAGUGACAUGUGCUUAAAAUCCCAGCUACUUGGGAGGCUGAGUCAGGAGGAUUGCUUGAGUCCAGGAGUUCUGCGCUGCAGUGAGCUAUGCCAAUCGGGUGUCCACCCUAAGUCCAGCAUCACUAUAGUGACCUCCCGGGAGCGGGGUACCACCAGGUUGCCUAAGGAGUGAUGAACCGGCCCACAUAGAAAUGGAGCAGGCCAAAACUCCCAUGCUGAUCAGUAGUGGGAUCACGCCUGUGAAUAGCCACUGCCCUACAGCCUGGGCAAUAUAGCAAGACUUCAUCUCU